AUUGAACGCUGGCGGCAGGCUUAACACAUGCAAGUCGAGCGGAGCGAGGGUGCUUGCACCUUAGCUUAGCGGCGGACGGGUGAGUAAUGCUUAGGAAUCUGCCUAUUAGUGGGGGACAACAUUCCGAAAGGAAUGCUAGUACCGCAUACGCCCUACGGGGGAAAGCAGGGGAUCUUCGGACCUUGCGCUAAUAGAUGAGCCUAAGUCGGAUUAGCUAGUUGGUGGGGUAAAGGCCUACCAAGGCGACGAUCUGUAGCGGGUCUGAGAGGAUGAUCCGCCACACUGGGACUGAGACACGGCCCAGACUCCUACGGGAGGCAGCAGUGGGGAAUAUUGGACAAUGGGCGGAAGCCUGAUCCAGCCAUGCCGCGUGUGUGAAGAAGGCCUUUUGGUUGUAAAGCACUUUAAGCGAGGAGGAGGCUACCGAGAUUAAUACUCUUGGAUAGUGGACGUUACUCGCAGAAUAAGCACCGGCUAACUCUGUGCCAGCCGCCGCCGUAACAC
rnacentral:rRNA from 1 species